rnacentral:rRNA from 6 species
UGGGCCUCAAAUAAUGUGUGACUACCCCC